UUACGACCACAUCACGUUGAAACAGCUGUUCCUGUUCGAUCACAGAAGUUAAGCAACAUCGAGCCUGGUUAGUACUGAGAUUAGUGACCGCUUGAGAGUACAAGCUGCU